rnacentral:rRNA from 1 species
UACCGAGGGUGCAAGCGUUAAUCGGAAUUACUGGGCGUAAAGCGUGCGUAGUCGGUUAUUUAAGUCGGGUGUGAAAGCCCCGGGCUCAACCUGGGAAUUGCAUUCGAUACUGGAUAGCUAGAGUUCGGCAGAGGGAAGCGGAAUUUCCGGUGUAGCGGUGAAAUGCGUAGAUAUCGGAAGGAACAUCAGUGGCGAAAGCGGCUUCCUGGACCAGAACUGACGAUCAGGCACGAAAGCGUGGGGAGCAAACAGG